rnacentral:snoRNA from 1 species
GGGUCCCUGAUGAGAACACACAUUGUCUCGAAGAGAGAUGAUGACUAAACAGUUAUUCUCAGAAUCAGCCUUGAGGCCA